UACGGGAGGCAGCAGUGGGGAAUAUUGCACAAUGGGCGCAAGCCUGAUGCAGCCAUGCCGCGUGUAUGAAGAAGGCCUUCGGGUUGUAAAGUACUUUCAGUCGUGAGGAAGGUGUUAAGGUUAAUAACCUUAGCAAUUGACGUUAGCGACAGAAGAAGCACCGGCUAACUCCGUGCCAGCAGCCGCGGUAAUACGGAGGGUGCGAGCGUUAAUCGGAAUUACUGGGCGUAAAGGGCACGCAGGCGGUUAAUUAAGUUGGAUGUGAAAUCCCCCGGGCUUAACCUGGGAAUGGCAUUCAAGACUGGUUAGCUAGAGUCUUGUAGAGGGGGUAGAAUUCCAUGUGUAGCGGUGAAAUGCGUAGAGAUGUGGAGGAAUACCGGUGGCGAAGGCGGCCCCUGGACAAAGACUGACGCUCAUGUGCGAAAGCGUGGGGAGGCAAACAGGAUUAGAUACC
rnacentral:rRNA from 1 species